ensembl:antisense Gm20512 predicted gene 20512
GGGUUGGGCAGGCAUCCGCAGCUCCCAUCGUCCGAGGCCGCCGCAGCGCCGCUGGCCGCAGCCCCGGGAGUCCGUUCCGAACCACGGCCAGUGCUUGACCCAGUGCCCAGGCCGCCGCCGAGCGGCGGCAGAGUGAAGCCUGGCGGCGAAGGAGGCGGCGGCGGGAGCCCCACGAGGGACGGCGUAGGAGGCGGCGGUGGCCCUGCGGGCGGAGAGCUGGCAGCCAACACGUUCCCCAUGGUAUCUGCGAGGGGAAAGCUUGAAGCCUCUGCUCCUUCCGCUGUUGUCGGCAGAUGAGGAUGCCUGUGCCAGCCACUGCGGUGGCGAUGAUGGCAGCGAUAAUACCUCCAAUGAUGCCACCAGUGGCCCCUGCUCCUGCUGUGCUGGGUGACUCUGUCAGGACAAAGACAGCAUGGGGUCACUAUGGAAAACUCACAGCUGCUUCUGCCAGCCCUGCCCUUCAGAUACUACCUAUGCCAGACUUUUCAAAAUGAUUGUUUUAUGUAUUUGUUGAGACAGGGUCUCACAUUGUAGGCCAGGCUGGCUGGGACUCUCUGUAAACCAGAAUAAACCCAUGCCUCUGCCUUCCAAGUGUAGGCAUUAUGGGCAUGUGCCUUC